ACAGAAUGCUAACAAUAUCUAGCAGCUUCCAGGAAGUAUGCCUGAAGGCAUCUAAGUGUUACCACACAAAAGAAAAUUAAGCUAAGAAACACCCAUUCACAGGGGUAACAGCACAGGGUGCUGGAAUAUAGACUCUGCCUGGAAGAAAGGAGUUACCCAGAAGUUCUUAAUUAGUUGCUCCAUAAACCUGACAUUGUGGAGGGAUAUCCUGAAUCUGAGGCUGUCAAGUUAUUCUGAGGCAAAGUCAGUGGGUCACUUGGUCCCACUCUCCCCACUGUGAAGCACCAAACCUUGUCCUUCAGUCCCCUUUUUAACCCAGAGAGGGAGGCUAUGCAGUUUAUUCAAGAAACUUCAACUAAUGGAGAUCUCUGAGCUUCACUGAAGACCCAAUUAAGGUGGAUGUGAAGGAACAGGAGCCCAACCAUACUCUAGGGGGAAACUGGAACUGAGGAGCACCCUAUACAAGGCUCUGGAGGACUUCCUGAGGGGACAGCUAUGGAAAUUUCCAGGGGAAGAAGCCACUCCUCAGCACCAUAGGACUCUUCUCUGUGACCUUCUGCACCGAUGGAACACUUCUGACCCAGAAGCAUAUGGACAGCACAAAUUGGAGGACACAGAGCCUGUGGUGCAAAGGUGAGAUGGCUCUGUGAAGAGGAAUUAAAAGAAGGAGUUGAAGGUGACUGCCUCCGGGAAGCAAAAUUGGACUGCCUCCAAAUAUGGAGGUCGCAGACACUGAGGAUGCCAAACUAAUCUCCUUUCAUGGUUAAGCUUUCCUUUUAUGGCUACAUUAAAUACUCCAUAACUGACCUACACAUUUCCUGCCAUCUGGUCCCUGCCUCCACAUUGGUCUUUACCUCAGCCCCAGCCAAUGAUGUCCACUCAACUGAAAACCCACCCACCCACGCACCAAGGUCUAUGUAGCCCUAUUCACCUCUAAUAAACAGAGUUGUUUCACUGAAAA